rnacentral:rRNA from 1 species
CCUACGGGAGGCAGCAGUAGGGAAUCUUCGGCAAUGGACGAAAGUCUGACCGAGCAACGCCGCGUGAGUGAAGAAGGUCUUCGGAUCGUAAAACUCUGUUGGUAGAGAAGAACGUUGGUGAGAGUGGAAAGCUCAUCAAGUGACGGUAACUACCCAGAUAGGGUCGGCUAACUACGUGCCAGCAGCCGCGGUAAUACGUAGGUCCCGAGCGUUGUCCGGAUUUGUUGGGCGUAAAGCGAGCGCAGGUGGUUUAUUAAGUCUGGUGUAAAAGGCAGUGGCUCAACCAUUGUAUGCAUUGGAAACUGGUAGACUGGAGUGGAGGAGAGGAGUGUGGAAUGCCAGGUGUAGCGGUGAAAUGCGUAGAUAUAUGGAGGAACACCGGUGGCGAAGGCGGCUCGCUGGCCUGUAACUGACGCUGAGGCUCGAAAGCGUGGGGAGCAAACAGGAUUAGAUACCCGUGUAGUC